rnacentral:lncRNA from 1 species
GAGUUUGGAGGGCAAAGAGAAGCCGGGAAACCUGAGUUCUGGGCCCAGCUUACCUCCGUGACUUUCAAGGGCCUCCGUUUCCUCAUCUAUAAAACGGACAAACUGAAGACUGCCCUUCACCCACGAGUGGUUAUACAAUGAGAAGAGGGGAAUCCUCUGCUCGGAAGGUGAAAUCAGUCGCCCAUAGACGUGACUCGUGAUGAAAACGCCACCUGAGGCUGCGGAGGAGCUCAGCUCGGGACCAGCAGAGGAGGGAUCACAAGAAAUCCAUGAAGCAGAUGCUCGCUCCUGGAAGAAGAAAGCUGGCUGUGGUUCCAGACCUGACUCCAGACUCUCAGCGCUGGAAAUACAAGAUCCUACUUUGCAGAAAUCAGUCUAUGCCCUGUGGAGUCUGAAAAAAUGCCUCCAGGGGCCUAUGGGUACAGAGGCAGAGAGACAGAGUAACAUGAGCCUUGACUCCAGAAUUGUAUCUGAUUCCUGUCCCAACUCCAUCUCCAACCAACAAGACAGGUAAUUUCAUCAAAUUCCUUAAAUUUUCCAGCUCUUGGUUCUCUCGUAGGGUGGUCAUGAGCAUUAAUGAGCUAAUGCAUGUACCAUACCUAGUGUCACGCGUAUGUGGAUAUUUUUUAAACACAAUCAGUUUUAUCGUUAAGAUGUGUACAAGAAACAGCAAGUUAUAAGGUAUUAGUACAAGAUGUGAUGUGCUUCCAUUAUGGACAUUCUUGAGACCUAGAGCACCUAUAUUUGGGAAAUGGAAACCAUGAGAGUGACUGGUCCUUUUAACUUGAUAUAUACUGCCACUGCUCUCAACACAUUUCCAUGCACAUCAGCAAUGCCGUUGAAUGAACAAAGGGUUUAAAGAAUGAAGAGGUGGAUGGAGGCAAGGACCUAAACUGGCCAACACUAUUUUAAAAUCUCUACCACCUCUGUGUCAGCCAGCUUUCCAUCUAUGGCGAAACACCUGAGCUAAAGAGCUUAAAAUGAUGAAUCAUUUCCUUUGGUUCACACUUUCAAAGGUUUCAGUUCAUGCUUUCUCGGCCAUGUUGCCUUUGGUCCUGUGGUGAGGCAGUACCUCAUGGUGGGGAGCACAGAGUAGACAGGAGUUCUCACUUCAUGGUAGUCAGGAAGGAUAAGGACUGCAAGGAAGGGGCAGGAUCCCAAAAUCCUUUCCAGGGCACACCUGCCAUGAUCUUCCAUUGCUCUAAAGUCCAACUCCAAAGUCUCCUCUGAGACUCAAGGCAAACUCUUCGCUGUGAGCCUCCUCUGUAAAAAUUAGAAAAUUAUAUACUCUCAGGAUACAGUGCCACAAGUUAAAC